rnacentral:tRNA from 1 species
GCCUUUGUGGCGUAAUGGCGAGCACACUCGGCGCGUAUUCGAAAGGUCCGAGGUUCGAAUCCCGGCAACGGCA